rnacentral:rRNA from 1 species
UACGUAGGGUGCAAGCGUUACUCGGAAUUAUUGGGCGUAAAGCGGAUGUAGGCGGCUUCGUAAGUCUGAUGUGAAAUCCCUGGACUCAAUUCAGGAACUGCAUUGGAUACUGCGAGGCUAGAGUAGAGGAGGGGUAGGCGGAAUUCCUGGUGUAGAGGUGAAAUUCGUAGAUAUCAGGAGGAACAACAGUGGCGAAGGCGGCUUACUGGACUCUAACUGACGCUGAGAUCCGAAAGUGUGGGGAGCAAACAGG